rnacentral:rRNA from 1 species
GACGAACGCUGGCGGCGUGCUUAACACAUGCAAGUCGAACGGAAAGGCCCUGCUUUUGUGGGGUGCUCGAGUGGCGAACGGGUGAGUAACACGUGAGUAACCUGCCCUUGACUUUGGGAUAACUUCAGGAAACUGGGGCUAAUACCGGAUAGGAGCUCCUGCUGCAUGGUGGGGGUUGGAAAGUUUCGGCGGUUGGGGAUGGACUCGCGGCUUAUCAGCUUGUUGGUGGGGUAGGGGCUUACCAAGGCUUUGACGGGUAGCCGGCCUGAGAGGGUGACCGGCCACAUUGGGACUGCGGUACGGCCCAGACUCCUACGGGAGGCAGCGGUGGGGAAUAUUGCACAAUGGGCGGAAGCCUGAUGCAGCAACGCCGCGUGCGGGAUGACGGCCUUCGGGUUGUAAACCGCUUUCGCCUGUGACGAAGCGUGAGUGACGGUAAUGGGUAAAGAAGCACCGGCUAACUACGUG